rnacentral:rRNA from 1 species
UACGUAGGCAGCAAGCGUUGUUCGGAGUUACUGGGCGUAAAGGGUGCGUAGGCGGGUCUUUAAGUCAGGGGUGAAAUCCUGGAGCUCAACUCCAGAACUGCCUUUGAUACUGAGGAUCUUGAGUUCGGGAGAGGUGAGUGGAACUGCGAGUGUAGAGGUGAAAUUCGUAGAUAUUCGCAAGAACACCAGUGGCGAAGGGCGGCUCACUGGCCCGAUACUGACGCUGAGGCACGAAAGCGUGGGGAGCAAACAGGG